GAUGAAGAACGUAGCGAAAUGCGAUAAGUAGUGUGAAUUGCAGAAUUCAGUGAAUCAUCGAAUCUUUGAACGCACAUUGCGCCCUUUGGUAUUCCAAAGGGCAUGCCUGUUCGAGCGUCAUUUGUACCCUCAAGCUUUGCUUAGUGUUGGGCGUCUUGUCUCUAGCUUUGCUGGAGACUCGCCUUAAAGUAAUUGGCAGCCGGCCUACUGGUUUCGGAGCGCAGCACAAGUCGCACUCUCUAUCAGCAAAGGUCUAGCAUCCAUUAAGCCUUUUUUUCAACUUUUGACCUCGGAUCAGGUAGGGAUACCCGCUGAACUUAAGCAUAUCAAUAAGCGGAGGA
rnacentral:misc_RNA from 1 species